UACGUAGGCAGCGAGCGUUGUUCGGAGUUACUGGGCGUAAAGAGUGUGUAGGCGGUUCUCUAAGUUCCGUGUGAAAUCUCCCGGCUCAACCGGGAGGGUGCGCGGAAAACUGGAGGGCUUGAGUAUGGGAGAGGAAAGCGGAAUUCCUGGUGUAGCGGUGAAAUGCGUAGAUAUCAGGAGGAACACCUGCGGUGAAGACAGCUUUCUGGACCAUCACUGACGCUGAGGUGCGAAAGCGUGGGGAGCAAACAGG
rnacentral:rRNA from 1 species